rnacentral:rRNA from 1 species
GAAUCUGCCUUCAGGUCGGGGACAACCACUGGAAACGGUGGCUAAUACCCGAUGUGCGCAACGUGAAAGAUUUAUCGCCUGAAGAGGAGCUCGCGUCUGAUUAGCUAGUUGGUGGGGUAAAAGCUCACCAAGGCGACGAUCAGUAGCUGGUCUGAGAGGAUGAUCAGCCACACUGGGACUGAGACACGGCCCAGACUCCUACGGGAGGCAGCAGUGGGGAAUUUUCCGCAAUGGGCGCAAGCCUGACGGAGCAAGACCGCGUGGGGGAGGAAGGUUUGUGGACUGUAAACCCCUUUUAUCAGAGAAGAACACAAUGACGGUAUCUGAUGAAUCAGCCUCGGCUAACUCCGUGCCAGCAGCCGCGGUAAUACGGAGGAGGCAAGCGUUAUCCGGAAUUAUUGGGCGUAAAGCGUCCGUAGGUGGCAGUUCAAGUCUGCUGUCAAAGACCGGGGCUUAACUUCGGAAAGGCAGUGGAAACUGAACAGCUAGAGUAUGGUAGGGGCAGAGGGAAUUCCUGGUGUAGCGGUGAAAUGCGUAGAGAUCAGGAAGAACAUCGGUGGCGAAGGCGCUCUGCUGGACCAUAACUGACACUCAGGGACGAAAGCUAGGGGAGCG